rnacentral:lncRNA from 1 species
GCCGAGGUGGAUUUUAUCCCGAGAUCUUUAGCAUUUUUGUAAAUUGAAUCAUUGCAGCGGUUGUAGACUCCAGGGCGUACACCUCGGCCCCUGGACGGAAUCCCGGGAUAAAAUCCCGGGAUCUUUAGCAUUUUUAUAAAUUGAAUCAUUGCAGCGGUUGUAGUCUCCAGGGCGUAGAGUGGUCAGUCUAGCCCUGUAAUUUAUUUAUUUAUUUUUAUGUAUCAG